GACGAACGCUGGCGGCGCGCCUAACACAUGCAAGUCGAACGAGAAAGAGGGAGCUUGCUCCCUUGAUCGAGUGGCGAACGGGUGAGUAACGCGUGAGGAACCUGCCUCAAAGAGGGGGACAACAGUUGGAAACGACUGCUAAUACCGCAUAAGCCCACGGCUCGGCAUCGAGCAGAGGGAAAAGGAGCGAUCCGCUUUGAGAUGGCCUCGCGUCCGAUUAGCUAGUUGGUGAGGUAAAGGGUUUCACCAAGGCGACGAUCAGUAGCCGGUCUGAGAGGAUGAACGGCCACACUGGAACUGAGACACGGUCCAGACUCCUACGGGAGGCAGCAGUGGGGAAUCUUCCGCAAUGGGCGAAAGCCUGACGGAGCAACGCCGCGUGAGUGAUGACGGCCUC
rnacentral:rRNA from 1 species